rnacentral:rRNA from 1 species
UACGGAGGGUGCAAGGCGUUAAUCGGAAUUACUGGGCGUAAAGCGUGCGUAGGCGGUUCGUUAAGUCUGUUGUGAAAGCCCCGGGCUCAACCUGGGAAUGGCAAUGGAUACUGGCGAGCUAGAGUGUGUCAGAGGAUGGUGGAAUUCCCGGUGUAGCGGUGAAAUGCGUAGAGAUCGGGAGGAACAUCAGUGGCGAAGGCGGCCAGUCGUGG